AAAGUCUGAUGGAGCAACGCCGCGUGAGUGAUGAAGGUUUUCGGAUCGUAAAACUCUGUUGUUAAAGAAGAACAAGUGUUAGAGUAACUGUUAACACUUUGACGGUAUUUAACCAGAAAGCCACGGCUAACUACGUGCCAGCAGCCGCGGUAAUACGUAGGUGGCAAGCGUUGUCCGGAUUUAUUGGGCGUAAAGCGAGCGCAGGCGGUUUUGUAAGUCUGCUGUGAAAGCCCUCAGCUCAACUGAGGAAGUGCAGUGGAAACUACAAAACUUGAGUACAGAAGAGGAAAGUGGAACUCCAUGUGUAGCGGUGAAAUGCGUAGAUAUAUGGAAGAACACCAGUGGCGAAGGCGGCUUUCUGGUCUGUUACUGACGCUGAGGCUCGAAAGCAUGGGUAGCGAACAGGAUUAGAUACCCUGGUAGUCCAUGCCGUAAACGAUGAAUACUAGGUGUUGGAGGGUUUCCGCCCUUCAGUGCCGCAGCUAACGCAUUAAGUAUUCCGCCUGGGGAGUACGACCGCAAGGUUGAAACUCAAAGGAAUUGACGGGGGCCCGCACAAGUGGUGGAGCAUGUGGUUUAAUUCGAUGCUACGCGAAGAACCUUACCAGCUCUUGACAUCUUCUGCCAACCCAAGAGAUUGGGCGUUCCCUUCGGGGACAGAAUGACAGGUGGUGCAUGGUUGUCGUCAGCUCGUGUCGUGAGAUGUUGGGUUAAGUCCCGCAACGAGCGCAACCCUUAUUAUUAGUUGCCAGCAUUUAGUUGGGCACUCUAGUGAGACUGCCGGUGAUAAACCGGAGGAAGGUGGGGACGACGUCAAAUCAUCAUGCCCCUUAUGAGCUGGGCUACACACGUGCUACAAUGGAUGGUACAACGAGUCGCGAAACCGCGAGGUCAAGCUAAUCUCUUAAAGCCAUUCUCAGUUCGGAUUGCAGGCUGCAACUCGCCUGCAUGAAGUUGGAAUCACUAGUAAUCGUGGAUCAGCAUGCCACGGUGAAUACGUUCCCGGGCCUUGUACACACCGCCCGUCACACCAUGAGAGUUUGUAACACCCAAAGACGAUGGGGUAACCUUUUAGGAGCUAGUC
rnacentral:rRNA from 2 species